AAUUUUAUUUGAUGUAUAACAUUAUUAAAACAUCAAUCAUGGAAGCUUUUUAGAUGUUUACCUACCAUUUUUAGUUAUAUUACUACUCGUUUCAGAAUGUUCAGAGAAUAUACAAGAGUUCACAAGUUAAACAAUUUCAUGAUGUUUGCAGAACGUUCCACAAACUAGUUUUCAAUAGUCAAUAAACAUUCAGAAAUAACAUUUGCAUAACUUAAUAAGAACAUUAGCAAAUUAUUAGUCAUUGACCCAAAGAACGAAGCAGCAUGGCGCGUUAUAUACAGAGCACAGUGCAUCUCAUCUCUUUCCAACAGGCAACAUUUGGAUAAUAAUGGAUUAAUCUGACAUAAUUAUUCCGUCUUAGACACGGACUUCUAGUCACGGCUAUAAGAAGAUGCAGCGAUGAGCUAAUUUACUGUAUUGUCAGAGGGCCUAUCAUGGCUUCUUAUUAGUCUGCAUAGCAAAUCCUAAGCUAAAUGAUCUGUGUCCGGCCUUCCAAAGGGAGAAAACAGCAUUCUGCAGCACAACUUCCGCCAGCGCAAAUGAGAUGCAAGAUUUGAAGAGAAAUCCUCUCCCCCAUACAGAUAUAAAAGCAAGGACGUGCACGAUGCUGCUGCUGCAAACAUUGACUCAUCCGCACACACGCCACCUGUGAAAACACCAAGCUAUUUUCACAAGAAUAAAGAGAUGCGCCAACUUGCACGUUUGGCCGUUAUGCGCCACACUUAAUUCCAGCACAGUUGUGCGUGUCCUAAACCUACAAUUUAUCACAUAAAUGCCAGAUAAACCUAAUCACUAUGCUAACAUUUGCAGCUCCAAUUGUGCCAAACACAGAAGCGUUAAUUAAUCUAAUGUUCUUGCGGCAGACGCACACAGUCGCACACGCAGUCUCGCUGUGGGAGUGAUUUGUAAGGCACCAUGUGGGGCUCUAAUCUGCGGGUUGCAGCGGGAUCUUUACAGCCUGCUCACAGGCCCGAGUGGCAGAAAUUAGGCCCAAAUUCAAUCAGUCGUCCAGGCAGGCCCGGGUUUAGGCCUGGAGGCGCCUUGGGACACGAGCUCCAUCUGCACCGGGGUAAGGAGAGCUUGCGUUCGCAGGCGCUUGGGAGUUAUGAGUAUUGCUCGCCGCCAUCUCUCCGCACAUUAGUGUCACCGCUAAACUAAAUAAGGACUCGGGUUUGAGUGUUUAGCCGAGGAGUAAUUUAAUUUAGGCAACAACGUGCUGUUGUAAAUCACAAGGAUGAGACGGUGGACUGCAUCGGGAGAGGGGUAUUUAUCUCAAGGCAAUACCAGAACAUUGAGUUAAAAAGAAAUCACAGCUUGAGAUUAUAUUUCUGCAGAGCCGUCGGAUCUCUGUAUUUCUGUCCUAUUUGGAAGCCGGAGCCUGAAAGAAAUAACGCCGGAGCCGAAACAAGCUGCUAUUUUUCCAGCAAGCUAACUUUCAUACGGUCAUUGUUGAGGGAUUUUUGCAGCGCUGAGAGCACUGUAUUACCCGAUUGCAUCAACUAAUCCGCCAACCUAUUUGCAGAGGAAUAUAUAUAUACAGAGCAAGACACUGGAGAACGUACACACGUCAGAAUCUGUCGUCUGUGAAAUUGAUAAGCCACAAGAGAUCGAACGUUGCUUACAAAACGUGUCUAGCCACAAACAUGCUGUGGAACACGAGGAAAAGCACAAGCCAUGUGCACCGCACUCAGUGCAUCGCUGAAGGAUUGUGGGCGAUGUGAUAGGGUGCAUAGGUUGUCCCUCGAGGCCAAACUGACAUGAUUGGAGCUCCCAUUAAAACCAGAAUGAAAAGUCCUCACAAACUCUUGGGAGCAAAAUCGACCCUGGAGAAUGGAGAAAUCCCAGGGUUUCCAUCACCAGAUGCUGAGUGAAGCGCACAUUUGACUUCACAGUACAUUUGGUCAUUUACAACCACUCCAAGAAAAAUAAUAGGUUCGAAGGUUUGGAAAUAUUAUUCAAUUUUACAGCCCAUCGUGAAGGAGCGGUUUUUAUUUCCCUCACAGAUAUGAAUCAGUCUGCCCAAUUGCUGUUCCCGCUGAUGCACGAUAAACAAUAUGAAAAUGCAUUUUUGCAGAACAGGAAGAGCAAGAAUUGAUCACGCUCUUCCAUUACAGGAGCAAACAGGGAGAAGGGGAGAGAUGAAAGAACAUCAAUGCGGAGAAAAUGUACAAAGCCACAGAGAAGCACUGCCCGGCAUAAUGACUCAGCGGCCGCACAGGGACCAACAACUUUCCAAAGCAUCUCAGACAUUAGGCAGAGAAGACGGGAUGCUCCUUGCCCAGUGCUCUGGCUGUGGGCGAUGCCUGAUGCAAUUAAAACCAGCCCACAGAGCCGGUGCGCAGACGCGGCGAGAAGCCUCAUGCUCGUCAAGUGUUGUAAGGCCAAGCGGGCCCUAAUCUUCACUUUUUCAACAGCCGGCACACCAUGCAUAAUUAACACACAUUACUAAUUCAGACCUAAAGUGGUUCCCAUGUAAUCUACUGCCGUUCGCUUUAAUUAAACACAUGUACUCUUGAACGAUCCACAACUGUGUAAUGUGUAUGAAUGAUUGAAUGAAGGAUGGGUGCAUUAAACUGAACAUGAGAAAGGGCCGUUUUAGGGCACUCAAAAUGUGUUCGGACGCUUCAAAAAUGUAUGAAUUUCAAAGUGCAGAUAACAAAAUCUGAAAGCGCCAUCUGUAAACAAAUUAUGCUUCUCUCUGUGCUGACUCUGGUUUGCUGAACUAGCAGAAUUUUUUUG